rnacentral:rRNA from 1 species
ACGCUGGCGGCAGGCUUAACACAUGCAAGUCGAACGGUAACAGGGAUUUGCUUGCUAAUUUGCUGACGAGUGGCGGACGGGUGAGUAAUGCUUGGGAAUCUGGCUUAUGGAGGGGGAUAACUACGGGAAACUGUAGCUAAUACCGCGUAAUAUCGGAAGAUUAAAGGAUGGGACUUUCGAGCCACCUGCCAUAAGAUGAGCCCAAGUGGGAUUAGGUAGUUGGUUAGAUAAAGGCUGACCAAGCCGACGAUCUCUAGCUGGUCUGAGAGGAUGACCAGCCACACUGGAACUGAGACACGGUCCAGACUCCUACGGGAGGCAGCAGUGGGGAAUAUUGCACAAUGGGGGGAACCCUGAUGCAGCCAUGCCGCGUGAAUGAAGAAGGCCUUCGGGUUGUAAAGUUCUUUCGGUGACGAGGAAGGUUGAUAGGUUAAUAGCCUAUCAAAUUGACGUUAAUCGCAGAAGAAGCACCGGCUAACUCCGUGCCAGCAGCCGCGGUAAUACGGGGGGUGCGAGCGUUAAUCGGAAUAACUGGGCGUAAAGGGCACGCAGGCGGUGACUUAAGUGAGAUGUGAAAGCCCCGAGCUUAACUUGGGAAUUGCAUUUCAUACUGGGUCGCUAGAGUACUUUAGGGGGGGGUAGAAUUCCACGUGUAGCGGUGAAAUGCGUAGAGAUGUGGAGGAAUACCGAAGGCGAAGGCAGCCCCUUGGGAAUGUACUGACGCUCAUGUGCGAAAGCGUGGGGAGCAAACAGGAUUAGAUACCCUGGUAGUCCACGCUGUAAACGAUGUCGAUUUGGGGAUUGGGCUUUGAGCUUGGUGCCCGUAGCUAACGUGAUAAAUCGACCGCCUGGGGAGUACGGCCGCAAGGUUAAAACUCAAAUGAAUUGACGGGGGCCCGCACAAGCGGUG